rnacentral:rRNA from 1 species
AGUUGAUCAUGGCUCAGGAUGAACGCUGGCGGCGUGCCUAACACAUGCAAGUCGAACGGUGAUAUAUAGAUGAUUUCGGUCUGAAAUAUAUCAUAGUGGCGGACGGGUGAGUAACGCGUGGAUAACCUGCCCGUACUGGGGGGAUAGCAGCUGGAAACGGCUGGUAAUACCGCAUAAGCGCACGAGGGGGCCUCCCCUAGUGUGAAAAGAUUCAUCGGUACGGGAUGGGUCCGCGUCUGAUUAGCCAGUUGGCGGGUAACGGCCCACCAAAGCGACGAUCAGUAGCCGGCCUGAGAGGGUGAACGGCCACAUUGGGACUGAGACACGGCCCAGACUCCUACGGGAGGCAGCAGUGGGGAAUAUUGCACAAUGGGCGAAAGCCUGAUGCAGCGACGCCCGCGUGAGUGAAGAAGUAUUUCGGUAUGUAAAGCUCUAUCAGCAGGGAAGAAAGGCCCUUUAAGGGAGAUGACGGUACCUGACUAAGAAGCCCCGGCUAACUACGUGCCAGCCGCUGC